rnacentral:misc_RNA from 1 species
GUGAUUUAAUAAUUAUGUGCUUGAAACACAAAUACAGUCUCUUUGUAAAGUAGAGGUAAGACUUACUCAGAGUUUACAAAUAUAAAAUGCUUCCUGUACUUUUUUUUUGGACAAAGAGAAGAAGGGAACAAUCAGAUAAUAAGCCUAGGAAAGAUAGCACCAGCACAAUCACCUUGCAACAGAGGAAUAACUAUUAGAGGAGGAGAAAAAAAAAGACAGCAACCCAAUGAUGAACCAUAAAAUCAGCACAUUGAUUGGCUUCCCUAUGAACAUGUUGGAUCUGAACUCACCAGUUGCAAAAAAUCAUAUCAUGAAUGGAAUCAACAAGAGCACCAUUAUAACUCAUAUCACAAGCAUUACUCCUAAUAGCAUUGCAGGUGACCACACUAUCCACUUCCAAAAUAAUAUGCUUAAACUGCAUAAUCUAGGCUUGCUUCAAACCUCGCAAAAUACGCCACAACUCAGCUAUAAAAACAUCACAGACUCUCAGAUUGCAUCCAAAACCACAAAGCUAGUUGCCCUCAGAGUCUCCAGUGAGCCCCCUCGCAGCUCUAUGACCAUUAACCACACUAGCAUUUCAAUUAACUUUAACCCAUCCCUCCAAUGGCAGUUGCUAACCCACCAAAAUAUUAUGUCUAGUGGAAGAAGGUAGGCCCAAACCUCUAUCAUUAAUGGUUUUAUGCACUAUUUCCACCUUGCUAAGAAUAAAAUCAAUCGGAAACCUUGGCAUCUCAAAGUUUGUAAAAAUAAAGGCAUUUUGCCAUUUCCACAACCACCUAUAAGUUAACCCAAAUAACAGACUCUAAUUGGUAGCAUAUUUCCCAUAAUUAGAAUGAAGAUUAUCCUAAAAGGAACUCAACUUGGAGCUAGCACCAAGACCCAUCCAGACAUUUCUAGCCACAGGACAGUCCUGAAGAAUAUGGAUCUUAUCUUCAACAAGAUGACCGCAAGCAUGACACUUAGCAUUCGACGCCAUACCACAAAUACAACGUUAGAGAUUAGAGAGAAUUUUCCCUUGAGACGUUAACCAGAGAAAAACACAAACCCGCUCUGGACCUUUUCAAGACCAAAUAGCUCUCCAAAUUGAAUAAGCACUUCCUGACACUUCCGCCUCCAAGAAAUGAAUUGUUGAGCGAAUAGUAAAAUUACCAUCCUUUGAAGGAGCCCAAACAAUUCUAUCACAUCCAGCAUUAUAACGAGGAGGAGGGAUGACCGCAAUCCUAUCUAAAAUAGAGUAAUCCAAAACAAGGUGUAAAGCAUUCCAAUCCCACUCACCCACAAAGUUAACAAAACUAUUAAUUGGCGCAUCCAUGUUAGGCACCACAACACCAUUACCAACAAGGUUAGCUAACAGAGGAAGAUCAGGCAUCCAGUUAUCCAUCCAAAAAUGAACCACAUUAUCAUUUCUAACCAACCAUCUCAAAUUUUGCCCAACUAAAGGCCAAACAACAGUGAUGGCUUUCCACAGAGGAGUACCCUUAUAAUUGGGGAGGGGAAAAGGUAUCCUUACCAAAGAAUUAAGAUAUUUGCUUUAGAUAACACAGACCUAAAGAUCCUUUAUACCACUAAAAAGACCAAAAGCUAGCUUCUAUAAGAAAUUAAAAUAAUUUACAUACCUCCAACUCUAGCCAUUGUUGAUCAAGUUCCACACAAUUAAUUUCCCUCAACUUACUAUUUUAGAUAAGAUAUUUUCUAGCCUAUACCAGAAAAAAGUAAAUGCCCA